UGAACACAUGGCCGCCGGUGCCGCUCUCCUCCUUGAGGUGCUUUAAUGUCCCAGAUGCAGUUUCAGGCCCUGGUUACAGCAACAAGCAAAACAGACCACCAAAGUCCUGGUUCUCACAGUCCUUUCCUCUUAAUGGAAGGAGAGAGGCCCUAGACAAUUGCAGCAGGAAAAUAGCUGCAUGUCGGACACUGGGGCGAAGCAGAUGGAAAACCAGAAGGAAUGAGGUCAGAUGGAAUGAGAUGGC